rnacentral:rRNA from 1 species
AACGAACGCUGGCGGCAGGCUUAACACAUGCAAGUCGAACGAUCUCUUCGGAGAUAGUGGCCGACGGGUGAGUAACACGUGGGAACGUACCUUUCAGUCUGGAAUAACACAGGGAAACUUGUGCUAAUACCGGAUACGCCCUUAUGGGGAAAGAUUUAUCGCUGAAAGAUCGGCCCGCGUCUGAUUAGCUGGUUGGUGAGGUAAUGGCUCACCAAGGCGACGAUCAGUAGCUGGUCUGAGAGGAUGAUCAGCCACACUGGGACUGAGACACGGCCCAGACUCCUACGGGAGGCAGCAGUGGGGAAUAUUGGACAAUGGGCGCAAGCCUGAUCCAGCCAUGCCGCGUGAGUGAUGACGGCCUUAGGGUUGUAAAGCUCUUUCGACGGGGACGAUAAUGACGGUACCCGUAGAAGAAGCCCCGGCUAACUUCGUG